AUUGAACGCUGGCGGCAUGCCUUACACAUGCAAGUCGAACGGUAACAGGUCUUCGGAUGCUGACGAGUGGCGAACGGGUGAGUAAUACAUCGGAACGUGCCUAGUAGUGGGGGAUAACUACUCGAAAGAGUGGCUAAUACCGCAUGAGAUCUACGGAUGAAAGCAGGGGAUCGCAAGACCUUGUGCUACUAGAGCGGCCGAUGGCAGAUUAGGUAGUUGGUGGGAUAAAAGUUUACCAAGCCGACGAUCUGUAGCUGGUCUGAGAGGACGAUCAGCCACACUGGGACUGAGACACGGCCCAGACUCCUACGGGAGGCAGCAGUGGGGAAUUUUGGACAAUGGGCGCAAGCCUGAUCCAGCAAUACCGCGUGCAGGAUGAAGGCCUUCGGGUUGUAAACUGCUUUUGUACGGAACGAAAAGCCCUGGGUUAAUACCCUGGGGUCAUGACGGUACCGUAAGAAUAAGCACCGGCUAACUACGUGCCAGCCGCCGCGGUAAAAC
rnacentral:rRNA from 1 species